rnacentral:rRNA from 1 species
UACGGAGGGUGCGAGCGUUGUCCGGAAUCAUUGGGCGUAAAGGGCUCGUAGGCGGUCCAUCGCGUCGGGAGUGAAAAGCUGGGGCUUAACCCCAGUCCUGCUUUCGAUACGGGCAGGCUAGAGUUCGGUAGGGGAGACUGGAAUUCCUGGUGUAGCGGUGAAAUGCGCAGAUAUCAGGAGGAACACCGGUGGCGAAGGCGGGUCUCUGGGCCGAUACUGACGCUGAGGAGCGAAAGCGUGGGGAGCGAACAGG